UCAACCCCUUGAUUUUUUUCCUUCAGUUUUCUUUGAGGAACUCUGAGAAUUUGGUAAUAUAGAGUACUUAGUGCUGCUAAAAAUCGUAUCAUUUUACAUUUUUUAAUCUUGGCCUCUUAAACAAGUUUUUGGUGGUUGAAUAAUUGAUGAUGUCACUUCUAAUGACGUUACAAAUAUGUUUUGAGGUGUUUAGGAAGGCAGGAAAAACACUGAUGGGCAUUUUUUUGGAUUACACGUGUUUUACUCAUGUAGUACAGUCAAUAUGCAACAUAAGUGAGAUAGCUAACAUGAAAACACACCUUCAAUUUGAAAAUAUCUAUGGAGGGGGGAGUCACCAUUUUUGGGCUGAGCAAUCUCUAAAAUUUACAAUGUCAUAUCUCUUUUACUUUUUGAGAUAUGGACAAAUGGUUUUCAGCUUUUAACUACUCCUGCUGUGCUCUUUCUAAAGAAGUACAAAAAAAGUUGGAAUUUUAAAACUUUUAAUCAGGGUUAUGGAAUGACGUCAUUAACUGUGAUGUCAUAAUUUGAUAUUUGCUGUCAAUUUUGUUGUCAAAAAAAAUGGACAUUUGUCCUCUAUUCACUUGCCAAGUUUCGCAACAAGAUAUUUACUACACUGAAGUUAUGCUGAAAUAACCAAAAUUCGUGACACCUUAAUGACCGUUUUCAGGGCUGUUUGACCCUAGCGUGACUGACUUGGCAUCCUUCACAAGGUCAGCAACUUAACCAUCUUCACUGCUAUCAUUUUUGGGGUUUGGAGCAUGUUCAGUUCAAAAUAAUACAGCUCCAGAGCAGCCAUAACCUAGAGUGGAAGUUAUAAGGCUUGUCGGAGGCCAUUUGGACAAAAUCUCUCAGACAGAAUGACUUCAUGAAAAUGCAGCCAGACUACUGAGCACUGUUCAAAAUGAUGGAAAUGAUGUCAAAUUUUGGGCUUCUUUGGAAACAAAUUUCAUAAGAAAAACCUGCCCUUUAGAGGCUGACACUUCAGUGAGUGGCUAAACUCAGUGCAAGUUUUUUUAUUAGCACUGACAAAAAAAGAAAUACAUUUUUUUGGAGUGACCUUCUCCUCUAAGAAACACUCUUUAGAAACAAUGUUUGUUAGAAUUGACCUUGUUGCCACUUAAAAAGCUUCUCUACAUGUUAGUUAAAACAUGUUUAAUUUAUAGUUUCCUACUCUUUUUUGUUGAAAUUUAGGGUUACUAUGACAAUCCCAAAGUCAAUGCUGUUUUGGUUAUGAAAGGAACUUUAGAUGAUGUUCCAAAGUUGCCCCCCCUGCCUCGCCCAGGAGAGGAGAAUGAAGAGGAUGAUGAUGAUGAAGACAGUAAAGAAGAUAAGCCCAAGAAACAACGGAAGUUAUCUGGCCCCAAGGCUAUUGAUCCUUAUGCCAAUGAUGAAUCAAGCAUGUUAAUUCCAAUUGCUGUAGCUAUUGCAGUCUUUCUACCAACUCUGUUUUGUUUGUGUAAAUUGUGAC